GAGGGGGUAGCAGAGCCUGGUCAAAUCCGAAAGGAGGCUAGAUGCGCAGGACUUAAGAUCCUGUCCCUUAGUGGGUACAAGGGUUCAAAUCCCUUCCCCCUCA
rnacentral:tRNA from 1 species